UCCUCUACUUUAUAUGUGGGACUCCUACCACAGCAUGGCUUUCCAAGCGGUGCCAAGUCUGAACCUGGGAUCCGAACCUGCGAACCCUGGGCUGCUAAGAAGCGGAAUGUGCGAACUUAACCACUGUGCUACCCGGCCGGCUCCACAAACUCUGUUUUCUAAACAGAACCGAUGGCCAAUCCUAGAAGACAAAAGACAGAGAGAUGGUCUUCCUGAACCAGGAACCCCAGAGAAAAUUUCCAAGAGGAGAUAUCCUAACUGGAGGAUGGUCCAGACAGCUUGGUUUGCACAACACAGCAGAAAUACAGGUCAGUGA
rnacentral:lncRNA from 1 species